rnacentral:rRNA from 1 species
CCUACGGGAGGCAGCAGUGAGGAAUAUUGGUCAAUGGGCGCGAGCCUGAACCAGCCAAGUCGCGUGAGGGAAGACGGUCCUAUGGAUUGUAAACCUCUUUUGUCGGGGAGCAAAAGACGCCACGCGUGGCGUUCCGAGAGUACCCGAAGAAAAAGCAUCGGCUAACUCCGUGCCAGCAGCCGCGGUAAUACGGAGGAUGCGAGCGUUAUCCGGAUUUAUUGGGUUUAAAGGGUGCGCAGGAGGAAGAUCAAGGCAGCGGUAAAAUUGAGAGGCUCAACCUCUUCGAGCCGUUGAAACUGGUUUUCUUGAGUGAGCGAGAAGUAUGCGGAAUGCGUGGUGUAGCGGUGAAAUGCAUAGAUAUCACGCAGAACUCCGAUUGCGAAGGCAGCAUACCGGCGCUCAACUGACGCUCAUGCACGAAAGUGUGGGUAGCGAACAGGAUUAGAUACCCCUGUAGUC